ensembl:snRNA U2 U2 spliceosomal RNA
AUCGCUUCUCGGCCUUUUGGCUAAGAUCAAGUGUAGUAUCUGCUCUUAUCAGUUUAAUAAUGCACAAUCAACUUUUCUCUCUCGAAAAGUUAUCAGGGGUUCCUGCCACUCCAG